UCUACAAUUAAACAAUGGAAUUGAUGCUUGACACAAUUGAUAACAUUCAUUACAAAGUUCAAUAAUAUAUCAUGUGAGUGCCAUGAUACACAUCAAAGUAAUUUGUAUGAAAGACAGUCUGUUUUAAGAAAGUCGAUGGAAAAACAUCUUCCAAGAAUAAAUAUAAAAACCAUCAUCAGAUGCAGGAAUAGCAAAUGGCGGACAAAAUGUGAUUCAAGUGGGCGCCGAAAAUCCUCGGUCAGUGAUCCCACUACCUGCAAUUCCAGUUAGGAAUGAGUUCCACGAACGAGAAAGAACCAUGCCAUAUUUGGUUGUAUCUGGGCAAUGCGGUUUCAUGCCGAUACCUCCCCUGGUGUAUCCUAGAAUAACAGGUACGAGCCCAAACAAUCGUAUCAGCUUGACAAGAUCGGAACAACUACCUUUGAGUUCAACGGAAAGACUUGAUUACUAUUCGUAGUCAUCAGAUACAAAGAACAGCCUUUAUCUUUAGUUUAUAAGCUUGUGACUUAUGAUACUGCAAUGACAAUAUAUAUGAAAUUCAUUUAGACUUAAUGCAUCACGUGAACAUUAGACAGUGUUACUCAAUUAUCAGUUGUUCAAUUCAAGUGUUAUUGCAUUAAUUAUAUACAUUAAACACACUUGUUUCAAUCUUAAUAAUAAGAAAACAUUUUAAUUUGCGUAAUAUUGUAUAUUCAUUUUAUAUAAAUUACGAAACUUAAA